CUGCUGCUGUAUCAUAUUGCUUACUUUUUUAAAUCAUAUUUAUGUACGGUAAAUGUCGUCUCAUCAACUAUGAAGAGAAUUGGUGGUGGUUAGGGUGUUCUGGUGCUUAUGUAAUCUUCUUUCAGGCCUUUCGAGAUAGAGUUCUUUAGCUGACAAGUUUAGCAAAUGCUACGGUGCUUAUGGUUUAGUUUUACACCUGGGUAAAAAUGAAUGGCUGCUACUGUUUCUAGUUUUAGGUUGGGAUGAGAUGCAUGUUUGCAUGCUUGUGCUUCUGUCAGUACAAUCUAUACUAGUGCUAUUGUCAUAUCCUGGUUGUUUUGUUGCUAUCAAUAUUUGUCCCAUGUUUUGUUUCCUUGCAUGCUUACUUCUACAAUCUGUACUACUGCUAUUGUCAUAUCUACUACAUGUGGUUCCCUCAAAUUAUCUAUAUCUACUAUUGUCAUAUCUCUAUUCACAUGUACAGUCAAACAUCUUUGUACUACUGCUAUUGUUGUAUGGCAAACACCAGAGGCAAAUCAUGAGUGGUGCCGCGUUAUUUAUAUCAGUGAAUGAUAUUUCCACGCAUGCUUUCUCUAAAAUAAAAUAAUAGGUCUAUUAGUCACCAAUACUUGAGUGAAUCUAACUCCUUACCUGCUAUGCUAUAGUAUGCCUUGUUCAUAUUUAUUAGCUAAGUUUGCAUGUCCACGUGAUCCAUAUACAUGCCAUAUAUGUGUUUCACGCUUUCUCUGAAAUGAAAUAAUAAGGGGCACACUCCAUGGACCAGGACGACCACCGGGACCUCCACGCCGAUGAUGAAGCCCCGCACAUGGUCGAGCUCGAUGGAACAACAAUGCCUUGGUGUGGUGGAGCCAAGUUGCGCCAACGACUACGUUUCCAUGGUCCUCGACCGCCUCAAUGGCUUCUAGUUCGGGUAAAGCAGCACCCCAUCCCCAUGGUUGUUUCAGUUUUCAGAGCCUCCUGUUUUGUGUGUGUGCUCAUGAUGCUUCUCUUCUCCAUGGGGAUGGGGGAUCCUCAACAGGACAACAAGUCAUUUGAAGGGAGUGAUUCUGUCACUGCUAUAUACUCCAGUUCCAAUCCAUGGACGACAUCCACAAGACCAAGACGUCGGACACCUAAUCCAGCCAGCCCCCCACAAGGUAGUUCCCUGCUCUGCCCUCCAUACCUUAACUCAAUAGAUAAACAUUGAUGUGAUGAUACAAAUACUUACUUGUUUAAAAGUAUCUCCAGACAUGAGGUGCAUUUCUGAGAUCAAUUCGAAAAUGACUUUUUAUUUACCUGCUUGACUCAACUUUUGGUUUGUACAAGUCACAUAGAAGCACUGCAAAAUUGUAUGCACAAGUAACUUAGCAGCAACUGAUGGUAAUAAGCUCCAGUGUCGGAUAUUCAAGAUUAUAGCUGCUCAAGCGCGGAAAUACAAUAUUGCAAUGCUAAUCAUUAGCUUUCACUGUUACAAAUCAUUCUUUAAGUUCACUAAGAAGUACACUAUUAUUUCCAUUUCUGUCAUAUUUAACACUUAUAAUGUGCACGCACUCAGCAGCCCAAGCACCAUGAAGACCCCUCUUGGCUAGCACCAGAAGCACCAUGUGCAGUGAAGACCAGCAGCUGCACGACCACACCCAGCCAUCUCUGGCCAUGGCGACUGACUGCAGCACAGGUAUGAGUCCCUCCUCCCCUUCACCUUCUCUUCUACUUCUGCACAGUUAUGGGCAGUGUUGCUUUCUCUCUUUUUGAUCUAAGCAUGAGCAUGGGCAGAUUCUACUAUCUAUGUGGCUCACUAGUUGGAGGUUUUUGUGGCUGUGAUUAGGGAGGAUCCAAGAAUAAGAUGGUUUUAAUUGCCUGUUAUGUUAAUCAAAUUAGAUGCUUGCAAGUCUGGUUCCAUGUGUCAAAUCCUCCCCUCCAAACACGCCAUUGGUUUUGUUGCAGAUUGUCAUGCUAAAUUUUCAAAUAUUUCUCACUUUCUGAUUUAACAACCUCUGUUUUGUUUUAUUUGGCAGCUGCUCAUCCGUUGCUGUUGCUGCUCUCCUCUGGGUUGUCGCCAUCAACACGUCGUUGGUGUUGUUGCUCUCCUCUAGCAGCUGCUCAUGCAUGAGGUCUCCUUUUACUUACUUCGUACUCGAAGGUGGAACAACUUGUUCAGUAUGGUCCAUCCUAAGCAUGUAUAUAUACCCAUCAGUUUGUGUUCUUGAUAUCUACCUGUAGCGUCAUGAGGAAUAAACCUCCUGAUUUCAUAUGUUGUCCUAUGGAAGUCACCGGACUUUUUUAUCAACACUAAUUUCAGAUAGAUAGGUGCUGCUUACCAUACCUAAGAGUGUAGCAUGUUGUGAAGGGAUAUGGCAACUCCAGAGUAGACAAUUAAAAGAUGUUAGUAAAAUCAAUAUGCAUCCCUAGUGAUGCUUUAUCUUGUUAUUUUAGUCUGAGUGUUGUGUUGUAGCAUCAUUGACUAGUAUGGUUUUUUCAAGGUCUAUACAAGUGCCAUCUCAGUCUGGCAACAUAUGCCUCUUGUCAUAUAUGUAUCUAUUAUCACAUUAGAUGUUUUAAGUGAAUGUUGUAUUUCUUGAAAGCGUAGAUGUACUAAUGCAAACACUGCUUGUGUACUUAUGACUAAUGUGUUUUCCCCUCGUAUAUAUAUGAGUUCCUAGGCCGAAGAAAUUAGAAGAAGCUUGAAGCCCCAGUCAGCGACUCGCUUUAUUUGUAAUUUACUAGUUGUAAACUUGUAAUACAGAAUUUUCUUGGAAUUUUAAUGCAAUUCUGAUCUUGCUGGGAAUUGGGUGUAUAUUUACUUGCUAUACUUGUUAUUCAAAUGCUGGGUGUACUUGUUGUACGUGUUAUUCAAAUGCUGGGUGUACUUGCUGUACGUGUUAUUCAAAUGCUUGGAAUUUAAAUUUUGCUAAAUGUAUUUAGCUAGAUAGUUGGACUCAGUUUUAGCAAAUACCAGUAUAUUAUUUUUGAAAAUAAAUAAAAUGGACUGUAAAAAGGCUGAGUUACAAAAUUUAAAAGGAGUGCAAAAAGGCUGAGGCC
rnacentral:lncRNA from 1 species